AGAGUUUGNAUCCUGGGCUCAGGGGUAAACGCUGGCGGCGUGCCUAAAACAUGCAAGUCGAAACGGGCAGUCUUCGGACUGUCAGUGGCAGACGGCUGAGUAACGCGUGGGUGACGUACCUAUUGGUGGGGAAUAACUGCCCGAAAGGGUGGCUAAUACCGCAUACGUCCGCUGGAGUGGUCCAGUGGGGAAAACCGUAAGGUGCCGAUGGAGCGGCCCGCGUUCGAUUAGCUGGUUGGUGGGGUAACGGCCUACCAAGGCGACGAUCGAUAGCUGGUCUCAGAGGAUGAUCAGCCAGACUGGGACUGAGACACGGCCCAGACUCCUACGGGAGGCAGCAGUUAGGAAUUUUGGGCAAUGGGCGCAAGCCUGACCCAGCAACGCCGCGUGGGUGACGAAGGCCUUCGGGUUGUAAAGCCCUUUUCUGGGGGAAGAUGAUGACGGUACCCCAGGAAGAAGCACCGGCUAACUACGUGCCAGCAGCCGCGGUAAUACGUAGGGUGCGAGCGUUGCCCGGAUUUAUUGGGCGUAAAGGGCGCGUAGGCGGUCACGCACGUCCGUUGUGAAAUCGCUCGGCUCAACUGGGCGGGGUCAGCGGAUACGGCGUGGCUGGAGCAAGCUAGGGGGCAAUGGAAUUCCCGGUGUAGUGGUGGAAUGCGUAGAUAUCGGGAGGAACACCAGUGGCGAAGGCGGUUGCCUGGAGCUUUGCUGACGCUGAUGCGCGAAAGCGUGGGGAGCGAUCCGGAUUAGAUACCCGGGUAGUCCACGCCGUAAACGAUGCGGACUAGGUGUCGGGGGUAUCGACCCCCUCGGCGCCGCAGCUAACGCAUUAAGUCCGCCGCCUGGGGACUACGGCCGCAAGGCUAAAACUCAAAGGAAUUGACGG
rnacentral:rRNA from 1 species